UACGAAGGGGGCUAGCGUUAAUCGGAUUUACUGGGCGUAAAGCGCGCGUAGGCGGCUAAUUAAGUCAAAUGUGAAAUCCCCGAGCUUAACUUGGGAAUUGCAUUCGAUACUGGUUAGCUAGAGUGUGGGAGAGGAUGGUAGAAUUCCAGGUGUAGCGGUGAAAUGCGUAGAGAUCUGGAGGAAUACCGAUGGCGAAGGCAGCCAUCUGGCCUAACACUGACGCUGAGGUGCGAAAGCAUGGGGAGCAAACAGG
rnacentral:rRNA from 1 species